UUCCGGAACUGAUUUCCUGCCUAGCACCGGCUGACUUAGGAGAGUGUGGCCUCAGAUUGCCCAAGAAGGGCACAGAUAGGGACCCCCACCUGGACUGGCCUUGAAAAUAUGCUAUAUGGACCUAGCGCCCUGCCUUCUGUCAGGAGGACCCCCACUGGCCCAAAGGGUCAGCCCUGACUUGUCAGGAUGUUAGCAAUACUCAUCGCAGCUGGGAGACAGCCACCUUAGGCUUGGAAGAGCUAGUCUCUGUAGGAUGCCAGGGGCCUAAGUGCUUGGGAGGGGAGGGGGGUUCUAUCCACAGUGCUCAGGCCAGUGUUCCCUGGGCAACCGUGCCUCUUGGAAUCCAGGCCCAGGGGCCUGGUAGGGUGGGAACAAAAGCCUGCUAGCCCAAGUGGGACCUGGGGGCAGCCUGAGAGGCUAGGUGUGGGCCUGGCUCCUUUGGCCUUCUCUGGGACCUUCUCACUGACUCAGAGAGCAGCCCUUCCCCACCAGCUGCCUGGUCUGUCACCUUCCCAUCUCAGGUCUUUCCCAGGGAGGCUCCCACACCCGGACCAUCUCACCACCCAGCACCUGGGACAGUGCUGCCUUAGAAGGGAGAAGCCAGCAGGGGGCAGAGUUAGUACUGGAACAUGAACUGCCCAACAUCAGCUCCUCUUUUCCACAGCGCCCAUUCCCCCAGCCAAUCAGUACUCCUUCUCCACCCCCGUCCAGGUCCCUUCCUUGUCUCUCUCACCCUUGGUGCCAGGCCUUUAUCACCUUGUGUCCCAACUGCUUAAUGCCUUUUCACGUCUCAGCCUGCAAACUGUCUCACCUGCUCCCACUGUACUUACUACUGGUCAGGCUGAACUUAAGAAAUAGUCCCCCUAGUCACAACUUCUGGCAAAAGUGCAAGCCCCAGCUCCCUGGCUUGCUGGCUGAGGGCCCCUGCUGGCCUGCAUCCGAGCUUCUGCACAGAGGGACAUGCCCAAGGGGCUGCUAUUGGAACUGAGGGCUGCUCUGCACCCAGCACCAGGCAGGACCCUGAAGCUAUGAGGGGUGGGACACAGAAAUGAGGGUCCCUCUGGGAUGGAGACAGGUAAAGUUUCAGGCAUGAAUCUUCUGGAUGACACACUCACGGCAGAUGAAGCUAGCUCUUCUGUGGAAGCCCAAGGGAGAACAUCAUCUCCUGGGGGAAGCCUGGAUGAUUAAGCCUGGCAGUGACUCUAAGGCCAUUUCCUACAGGGACACGGUUCUGAGAGUGGCUGAAGGCUGAGGCCCGACUCCAACCAAAACAGCAAGGCGAGCACAGAGAAGGAAUCAUACCAAAGGCCGUGUGGGGGCUGCUCUCGCAAAGACUCAGCGGCUGUCAGGGAGGCGCAGCCACAGCUACAGUCUCCUGAGACAUUACUUCUCCAGGACUCUCAAGUCUUUCUAGCACCUCAGGAACUGAUGCCAUAGUCAUUCAUGGUGAAUGAUGAGGCUUCCUGAAGGCCAAGGCACCUCCUCUCUGCCCCUACAUGGGUGAGGCAGAAACAGAGGAGAGGAGUUACCUAGGCAGCAACAGUCCCUGGUCCUCAGCCAGGGAGCACAGGGGCCACUCUGCCCUAUACACAGGAAGAACAGCGAACUACUCAGGCCCAGCCUUCAACUUUUGAGCUCCAGUGCAACGAGGGAUCAACUUGCAGUUCACACUCUGAAGUCCAGAGCAGCGUCCCGCAGUCUGGUUCAGAGACCCUGCCUCCCAGACCAGUCUAUUUAGAAGCCUCUUAAGGCUGGUUACAAGCCUGACCAGUGCUUCUACCAGGGGAGGGAGGGUCGGCCAUGGACAAACUGAGUGCAGAGCAGGGAAAUAGGGUAGGUCAGGUGUGCUUCAUUACAAGGAAUGAGAUCUAACUCAGAUUAGUUCAAGCUGGUCAGGGCUCUUCAGGGCCCCGGGACACAGGAUCCAAAGAGAAGCUAAAGCCUCAGACCUCCAGCAAGCAGAACAACCACUCAAGAAGCCCAGGAGAGAUGCUCACAACCUCUAUCAGUACUUAGCCAUGAUCCUUUGGUCUCAGUGCCAUUUGGUUCAAAGUCUCUCCCAAGCAAGAUGUGAGAGGCUGCCAGUCUAAUCAUCCAUGAAGGGGAGGGACCUUCACAGAAAGUGACACAAGACAGAAGAACCGAUAUAUACGCUUUGAAUAUGACAGUGAUUCAGAAGCCCCAUGUUUGCCUGGCAGUUCUCCACAUGGGCAUGCAGCAGUACACACUCAAGUUUUGUUGAAGGAAUAAAUGAAUGACUGCUGGCCUCAUUGGGGCCUCAGAGGCCCACUUGGGAGGAUGGAGGUGGUAGUGACCAUCAGGCCACUCUUAGGGUCAGCUGGAGAAUGCGAGAUAGCAGAUGGGAAAGCACCUGUCUACAAAUGCACCAAGGUCCUCACCUGCACCUCUGAGAGAAUGCCCCUACCCAUGCAGCCUGCUCCCCCGCCAAGCUGAGACAGCCCGUGUCUUCUUGGAGGACCCGGCCUUGCCCCUGAACUUGGCAGAGUGUGCCACUGCUCCUCCUCUACCCUUCCUGCACCGACCUGAAAAGCCAGGCCUGGGGCGUACCCCCUGACUGCUGGGUGGGUUUGACCAGCAAGAAGCACCAGCAGGAGAGCAGAGAGUAGGGCAAAGAUGAGGCCGAGCAUUUAUCCCAAGUUCCCUCUGGUGCCAAGGGUCGGCCACCAAAGACCGAAAGUUCUGACAGGUAGCCUGAUGCAGAGGUGCCCUGGGGCUGGUCAAGGACCCUGCAUCACACCUACCCUGUGGGUUCCAGAUGUCCACCCAGGCCACUGAAAAUCCCUUUAUUAAGGCUCUUUGGAUAAGUGGUUGGAUGGAGCCAUCGAAGGCCUGACUGGCAAACCUCUCACUCUCCACACAGCAGCCCGAGGCGUUCAUGUACAAUCUUGUGGUAGCUUUAACCUCACUUAGAAUGAUGCGCCACAGCUCCUCCCUGCCUCCCCAGGUCCUCAGGAGCUCUGAAUGUAUCUUCCCCCCCUCUCCUCCCUGCCCAGCCAGUCACACAGGCUCCUGGCUGAUUCUAGUCCUGCCAGGCCCAUUCCUAUCUCAAGGCACAUACGUGACCCAUGCUGUCCACCCAGAAGCCUCUCUUGGUAUCACCUUGGCUAGUUCCCUCACCUGCUUCAGGUCUUUGCUAAGAGAGGCCUUCCCAGACUUCCCUGCCUAAAGAACCACACUCCCCCCACUGCACACCCUUACCAGCUUUAUCUUUCUUCUGGAUGCAUCACUAACCCCCGUUAGGUAUGCUUCUACUCUCCCUCCCCUCUGUGUGCACUCAAGGGUGGGGGGGCUCUGCUGUGCAGACCAGUAUAUGCCAGCCCCUCAGGCAGGGCCUCGCAUGUAUCAAUGCAGGUGACAGCUGCGGAAUGAAUGAACCCGUAGAGAUGCAUAGGCACAAUGCUGGCGGGGGCAGGGUGGGCAGUAGAGGAUGACACUAAUACAGGGGUUCGGCCGUACCAUGGUCUGUGGGAUGAGGAGGUGGUGGUAGUUUCUUCCACACGCAGUACAAUUUGUAAUGGCUGCUGCCAGUAGAGUACUCAACCCAUUCAAACUGCUGGGAUCCAUAGCUCACCUCUUCCCAAAGACAGAACAAGGAAGGCAAUGAGCCUUUGGGGGGGGCAUUUGUUCCCCCUCUUCUGACCCCCAAAGGCACAGUGAAAUCUUCAAACCAUGUUGUAGACAGACUUUGAAAUGUAUAACUGAUAUUCUGAAGUUGAGAGAAAUCUGGAGUUUCAUUUUGCAAACAAAGCCUGAUAAGAACCUGGCUUGCGAGGAUCAGCAGCAGCCCAGGGCUUCUGCGUGGGGAGCCUGUGGCACAGCAUCCUUUUGGGUAUACAGAAAGAGAGCAGG